GUGAGGAAUAUUGGGCAAUGGGCGAAAGCCUGACCCAGCCACGCCGCGUGAGUGAUGAAGGCCUUCGGGUUGUAAAGCUCUGUGGGGAGGGAAGAAAAAGCGGGAGAGUAACUGCUCUCGUGUUGACGGUACCUCCUUAGCAAGCACCGGCUAACUCUGUGCCAGCAGCCGCGGUAAUACAGAGGGUGCAAACGUUGCUCGGAAUUACUGGGCGUAAAGCGCGUGUAGGCUGACAUGCAAGUCGGGUGUGAAAUCCCAGGGCUCAACCUUGGAACUGCACUCGAAACUGCACGUCUGGAGUACUGGAGAGGGAAGCGGAAUUCCGGGUGUAGAGGUGAAAUUCGUAGAUAUCCGGAGGAACACCAGUGGCGAAGGCGGCUUCCUGGACAGUAACUGACGCUGAGACGCGAAAGCGUGGGGAGCAAACAGGAUUAGAUACCCUUGAGUCC
rnacentral:rRNA from 1 species